rnacentral:rRNA from 1 species
AGAGUUUGAUCCUGGCUCAGGAUGAACGCUAGCGGCAGGCUUAAUACAUGCAAGUCGAACGGUAACAGGUGUAGCAAUACAUGCUGACGAGUGGCAGACGGGUGAGGAACACGUACGCAAUCUUCCUCUUACUGGGGCACAACCCGAAGAAAUUCAGGCUAAUUCCCCAUAACAUCGUGCAAGGGCAUCUGAGCACAAUUAAAACUCCGGUGGUAAGAGAUGAGCGUGCGUCUGAUUAGCUUGUUGGUGAGGUAACGGCUUACCAAGGCAACGAUCAGUAACUGGUGUGAGAGCACGACCAGUCACACGGGCACUGAGAUACGGGCCCGACUCCUACGGGAGGCAGCAGUAAGGAAUAUUGGUCAAUGGACGCAAGUCUGAACCAGCCAUGCCGCGUGCAGGAUGAAGGCCCUCUGGGUCGUAAACUGCUUUUAUCUAUGAAGAAAUCACCUGUUUCUACGGGUGUUGACGGUAAUAGAGGAAUAAGCACCGGCUAACUCCGUGCCAGCAGCCGCGGUAAUACGGAGGGUGCAAGCGUUAUCCGGAUUUACUGGGUUUAAAGGGUGCGUAGGCGGGUUGGUAAGUCAGUGGUGAAAGCCCCGAGCCUAACUCGGGAACUGCCAUUGAUACUAUCAAUCUUGAAUUCAGUUGAGGUGGGCGGAAUGUGUCGUAGCGGUGAAAUGCUUAGAUAUGACACAGAACACCAAUUGCGAAGGCAGCUCGCUAAACUGACAUUGACGCUGAGGCACGAAAGCGUGGGGAUCAAACAGGAUUAGAUACCCUAGUAGUCC